UGGGAAGCAGGUUAAUAUUCCUGCACCGUCGUAUGAUGCGAUGGGGGGACGGAUCGCGGAAGGUUGUCCAACGGUUGGAAGUGUUGGUUUUUGACUCAUAGAAGGCGCUUAGGCAAAUCCGGGCGCGCAAUUCAAGGGGUCGAGACGAGAGACUUAGGUCUUGAAGCAAUCGGAAGUGGUUCCAAGAAAAGCCUCUAAGCUUCAGUCAUAC
rnacentral:rRNA from 1 species